CCUACGGGUGGCUGCAGUGGGGAAUAUUGCACAAUGGGGGAAACCCUGAUGCAGCGACGCCGCGUGAAGGACGAAGUAUUUCGGUACGUAAACUUCUAUCAGCAGGGAAGAAAAUGACGGUACCUGACCAAGAAGCCCCGUCUAACUACGUGCCAGCAGCCGCGGUAAUACGUAGGGGGCAAGCGUUAUCCGGAUUUACUGGGUGUAAAGGGAGCGUAGACGGCCAUGCAAGUCUGAUGUGAAAACCCGGGGCUCAACCCCGGGACUGCUCUGGAAACUGUGUAACUGGAGUGCAGGAGAGGCAGGCGGAAUUCCUAGUGUAGCGGUGAAAUGCGUAGAUAUUAGGAGGAACACCAGUGGCGAAGGCGGCCUGCUGGACUGUAACUGACGUUGAGGCUCGAAAGCGUGGGGAGCAAACAGGAUUAGAUACCCGAGUAGUC
rnacentral:rRNA from 1 species